rnacentral:rRNA from 1 species
UACGUAGGGUGCGAGCGUUAAUCGGAAUUACUGGGCGUAAAGCGUGCGCAGGCGGUUUUGUAAGCCAGAUGUGAAAGCCCCGGGCUUAACCUGGGAAUGGCAUUUGGGACUGCAAGGCUUGAGUGCGGCAGAGGAGACUGGAAUUCCCGGUGUAGCAGUGAAAUGCGUAGAUAUCAGGAGGAAUACCGAUGGCGAAGGCAGGUCUCUGGGCUGACACUGACGCUCAUGCACGAAAGCGUGGGGAGCAAACAGG